rnacentral:tRNA from 1 species
UGGGAUGUAGCUUAGUGGUGAGGCACUUGCCUAACAUGUAAAAGGCCCUGGAGUCCACCUCCAGCACCACAA